GACGAACGCUGGCGGCGUGCUUAACACAUGCAAGUCGAACGGAAAGGCCCUGCUUUUGUGGGGUGCUCGAGUGGCGAACGGGUGAGUAACACGUGAGUAACCUGCCCUUGACUUUGGGAUAACUUCAGGAAACUGGGGCUAAUACCGGAUAGGAGCUCCUGCUGCAUGGUGGGGGUUGGAAAGUUUCGGCGGUUGGGGAUGGACUCGCGGCUUAUCAGCUUGUUGGUGGGGUAGUGGCUUACCAAGGCUUUGACGGGUAGCCGGCCUGAGAGGGUGACCGGCCACAUUGGGACUGAGAUACGGCCCAGACUCCUACGGGAGGCAGCAGUGGGGAAUAUUGCACAAUGGGCGGAAGCCUGAUGCAGCAACGCCGCGUGCGGGAUGACGGCCUUCGGGUUGUAAACCGCUUUCGCCUGUGACGAAGCGUGAGUGACGGUAAUGGGUAGAGAAGCACCGGCUAACUACGU
rnacentral:rRNA from 1 species